rnacentral:rRNA from 1 species
CCUACGGGAGGCAGCAGUAGGGAAUUUUCGGCAAUGGGGGGAACCCUGACCGAGCAACGCCGCGUGAACGAAGAAGUUAUUCGUAAUGUAAAGCUCUUUUAACAGGGAAGAAAGAGAAAUUUGAUGGUAUCUGAAGAAUAAGCUCCGGCUAACUACGUGCGAGAAGCCGCGGUAAGACGUAGGGAGCGAGCGGUAUCCGGAAUUAUUGGGCGUAAAGGGUGCGUAGAUGGCAUAGUAAGUCUUUUGUAAAAAUGCUGGGCUCAACCCAGUAGGGCAAAAGAUACUGCAAAGCUAGAGUAUAACAGAGGCAAGUGGAACUACAGGUGUAGCGGUAAAAUGCGUAGAUAUAUGUAAGAACACCAGUGGCGAAGGCGGCUUGCUGGGUCGAUACUGACAUUGAGGCACGAAAGCGUGGGGAGCAAACAGGAUUAGAUACCCGUGUAGUC